UACGUAGGUGGCAAGCGUUGUUCGGAAUUACUGGGCGUAAAGCGCGCGCAGGCGGCCUUUUAAGUCCAUCGGUGAAAUGCCGGGGCUCAACCCCGUUGCAGGCCGAGGAUACUGGGAGGCUGGAGACACGUAGAGGCAAGCGGAAUUCCGGGUGUAGCGGUGGAAUGCGUAGAGAUCCGGAAGAACACCGGAGGCGAAGGCGGCUUGCUGGGCGUGAUCUGACGCUGAGGCGCGAAAGCGUGGGGAGCGAACAGG
rnacentral:rRNA from 1 species